rnacentral:rRNA from 1 species
AGAGUUUGAUCCUGGCUCAGAAUGAACGCUGGCGGCGUGCUUAACACAUGCAAGUCGAACGUGAAAGUCCUUCGGGAUUAGUAAAGUGGCGAACGGGUGAGUAAUACAUAAGAAUCUGCCUUUCAGCGGGGGAUACCCUAGAGAAAUUUAGGUUAAUACCGCGUACGUCCACUAUGUGGAGAAAGAUGGCCUCUUGCUAUCGCUGAGAGAUGAGCUUAUGCACUAUUAGCUAGUUGGUGGGGUAAAGGCCUACCAAGGCGAAGAUGGUUAGCCGGCCUGAGAGGGUGAACGGCCACAAUGGGACUGAGAUACGGCCCAUACUCCUACGGGAGGCAGCAGUGGGGAAUAUUGCACAAUGGGCGCAAGCCUGAUGCAGCGACGCCGCGUGAAGGAUGAAGGCUUUCGAGUCGUAAACUUCUGUUAAGUGGGAAGAAAUGCUUCCGGAUAAUACCCGGAAGAGCUGACGGUACCACUAGAGAAAGCACCGGCUAACUUCGUGCCAGCAGCCGCGGUAAUACGAAGGGUGCAAGCGUUAUUCGGAGUUACUGGGCGUAAAGAGCGUGUAGGCGGUUUGCUAAGUCUGCUGUUAAAUCAUUCGGCUCAACCGGAUGUUCGCAGUGGAUACUGGCGAACUAGAGUGCAAGAGAGAGAAGUGGAAUUCUCGGAGUAGCGGUAAAAUGCGUAGAUCUCGAGAGGAACACCGGUAGCGAAGGCGGCUUCUUGGCUUGUAACUGACGCUCAAACGCGAAAGCGUGGGUAGCAAACAGGAUUAGAUACCCUAGUAGUCC